rnacentral:rRNA from 1 species
GAGUUUGAUCCUGGCUCAGAUGACGCUGACAGAAUGCUUACACAUGCAAGUCUACUUGAAUUCACUUCGGUGAUAGUAAGGUGGCGGACGGGUGAGUAACACGUAAAGAGCUUGCCUUACAGUCUGGGACAACUAUUGGAAACGAUAGCUAAUACCGGAUAUUAUGAAUUUUCCACAUGGAAGAUUUAUGAAAGCUAUAUGCGCUGUAAGAGAGCUUUGCGUCCCAUUAGCUAGUUGGUGAGGUAACGGCUCACAAAGGCGACGAUGGGUAGCCGGCCUGAGAGGGUGAACGGCCACAAGGGGACUGAGACACGGCCCUUACUCCUACGGGAGGCAGCAGUGGGGAAUAUUGGACAAUGGACCAAAAGUCUGAUCCAGCAAUUCUGUGUGCACGAUGACGGUCUUCGGAUUGUAAAGUGCUUUCAGUUGGGAAGAAAGAAAUGACGGUACCAACAGAAGAAGCGACGGCUAAAUACGUGCCAGCAGCCGCGGUAAUACGUAUGUCGCAAGCGUUAUCCGGAUUUAUUGGGCGUAAAGCGCGUCUAGGUGGUUUGAUAAGUCUGAUGUGAAAAUGCGGGGCUCAACUCCGUAUUGCGUUGGAAACUGUCAAACUAGAGUAUCGGAGAGGUGGGCGGAACUACAAGUGUAGAUGUGAAAUUCGUAGAUAUUUGUAGGAAUGCCGAUAGAGAAGUCAGCUCACUGGACGAAUACUGACACUGAAGCGCGAAAGCAUGGGGAGCAAACAGGAUUAGAUACCCUGGUAGUCCAUGCCGUAAACGAUGAUUACUAAGCGUCGGGGGUCGAACCUCGGCACUCAAGCUAACGCGAUAAGUAAUCCGCCUGGGGAGUACGUACGCAAGUAUGAAACUCAAAGGAAUGACGG